rnacentral:rRNA from 1 species
UGGGGAAUAUUGCACAAUGGGCGCAAGCCUGAUGCAGCCAUGCCGCGUGUAUGAAGAAGGCCUUUGGGUUGUAAAGUACUUUCAGUCGGGAGGAAGGUGGUAAGGUUAAUAACCUUGGCAAUUGACGUUACCGACAGAAGAAGCACCGGCUAACUCCGUGCCAGCAGCCGCGGUAAUACGGAGGGUGCAAGCGUUAAUCGGAAUUACUGGGCGUAAAGCGCACGCAGGCGGUUGAUUGAGUCAGAUGUGAAAUCCCCGGGCUUAACCCAGGAAUUGCAUCUGAUACUGGUCAGCUAGAGUCUUGUAGAGAGGGGUAGAAUUCCAUGUGUAGCGGUGAAAUGCGUAGAGAUGUGGAGGAAUACCUGUGGCGAAGGCGGCCCCCUGGACAAAGACUGACGCUCAGGUGCGAAAGCGUGAGGAGCAAACAGG